UCCAGGUUGUAGUUGGACAACAAUUUGUCGUUCCAGCUUACUCUAAGGUGUCUGUGCUUCCCCAACCAAUAAACCAAGACAGUGAUGAAGAGCUUGAGUAUGCUGACAGUAGCAGUGGUGCUGUAGAUAGUCCAUCAAUCAAUGACCCACUGGAUGUUGCUAAAGGGGAGCCGAUACCCAAUUCAUCUGACACACCUGAGGUUGGGACUUCAGGAGCUGGUUAUAUUUGGUCAUUUUGUGAGGGAGGACAUGAAGAAGAAUGGAGGCAUUCAAUUGCUCCCAUUCCUGCUGAUAAGCUUUCAGAGUUGGCACGUGCUACUCAUGAAGAACUAAAUUUAUCUAUUCAAGAUGGCGGUAAUCUUCCACCUUCUGGAGAGCUAAUACAUGAUUCUGAUGGCACUAUUUCUGAAGAUGAUGAUAAUGAAGAUUUUAAAGAUGAUUCUGCCUACUUUGAGAAAGAGGUGGCAGCCACUUUUCUUAGGGCUGUUCAUGAAGGAGUGGAACAGGACCAUGUUAUCCUAGAAGUGAAUUCGCUUCGGUAAG